rnacentral:rRNA from 1 species
AUUGAACGCUGGCGGCAUGCCUUACACAUGCAAGUCGAACGGUAACAGGUCUUCGGAUGCUGACGAGUGGCGAACGGGUGAGUAAUACAUCGGAACGUGCCCAGACGUGGGGGAUAACGAGGCGAAAGCUUUGCUAAUACCGCAUACGAUCUAAGGAUGAAAGCAGGGGACCGCAAGGCCUUGCGCGUUUGGAGCGGCCGAUGGCAGAUUAGGUAGUUGGUGGGAUAAAAGCUUACCAAGCCGACGAUCUGUAGCUGGUCUGAGAGGACGACCAGCCAAACUGGGACUGAGACACGGCCCAGACUCCUACGGGAGGCAGCAGUGGGGAAUUUUGGACAAUGGGCGAAAGCCUGAUCCAGCAAUGCCGCGUGCAGGAUGAAGGCCUUCGGGUUGUAAACUGCUUUUGUACGGAACGAAAAGGCUCUGGCUAAUACCUGGGGCACAUGACGGUACCGUAAGAAUAAGCACCGGCUAACUACGUGCCAGCCGCCGCAGUAAAAC